GAGACUCUGUGCGCGUGCAUAUCAAUAAGCGGAGGAAAAGAAACUAACUAGGAUUCCCUCAGUAACGGCGAGUGAAGCGGGAAGAGCUCAAAUUUGAAAUCUUCAAGGUUCUACCUUGACGAAUUGUAGUUUAUAGAAGUGUUUUCUGUUAGUAGGAGUGGCAAAAGUUCUUUGGAAUAGGACAUCAUAGAGGGUGAGAAUCCCGUAUUUGACCGUUACUUCCUAGCUGCGUGUGAUACACUUUCAAAGAGUCGGAUUGUUUGGGAAUGCAGUCCAAAAUGGGUGGUAAAUUUCAUCUAAAGCUAAAUAUUGGCGAGAGACCGAUAGCGAACAAGUACCGUGAGGGAAAGAUGAAAAGAACUUUGAAAAGAGAGUUAAACAGUACGUGAAAUUGUCAAAAGGGAAGCGCUUGACACCAGUGUUGUUUUUCCGAAAAUCAAUUACGAAUGUUUUAUUUUUGAGAAGUUAUGACUUCAUCGGCUUGCUUCUCUCUUUAUGAAACUUUCUUAAUGCACUUUUCGGUUAACAAGUCAACAUCAAUUUCUUUUGUUGUAAAAGGGUAUGAGGAAGGUGGCUUUCUUUUCGGAGAAAGUGUUUAUAGCCUUGUAGCCUCUGCAAUCGGAGAGAUUGAGGUCUGCAGCGUAGAUCCUUCGGGGUUAGAUACAGUUUGUGCUAAGUUAUAGCUUUUCAUAGACAACUUGUUGACUAUGUUUAGUCUUGUAGCUUACUCGCUGAUGCUAUUUUACCUACGCUUAGGAUGUUGAACUCUAUCACACACAG
rnacentral:rRNA from 1 species